rnacentral:rRNA from 1 species
GUACUGUGAAACUGCGAAUGGCUCAUUAAAUCAGUUAUCGUUUAUUUGAUAGUACCUUACUACAUGGAUACCUGUGGUAAUUCUAGAGCUAAUACAUGCUAAAAACCCCGACUUCAGGAAGGGGUGUAUUUAUUAGAUAAAAAACCAACGCCCUUCGGGGCUCCUUGGUGAAUCAUAAUAACUUAACGAAUCGCAUGGCCUUGCGCCGGCGAUGGUUCAUUCAAAUUUCUGCCCUAUCAACUUUCGAUGGUAGGAUAGUGGCCUACCAUGGUGGCAACGGGUAACGGGGAAUUAGGGUUCGAUUCCGGAGAGGGAGCCUGAGAAACGGCUACCACAUCCAAGGAAGGCAGCAGGCGCGCAAAUUACCCAAUCCCGAUACGGGGAGGUAGUGACAAUAAAUACUGAUACGGGGCUCUUUUGGGUCUCGUAAUUGGAAUGAGAACAAUUUAAAUCCCUUAACGAGGAACAAUUGGAGGGCAAGUCUGGUGCCAGCAGCCGCGGUAAUUCCAGCUCCAAUAGCGUAUAUUAAAGUUGUUGCAGUUAAAAAGCUCGUAGUUGAACCUUGGGUCUGGCUGGCCGGUCCGCCUCACCGCGAGUACUGGUCCGGCUGGACCUUUCCUUCUGGGGAACCUCAUGGCCUUCACUGGCUGUGGGGGGAACCAGGACUUUUACUGUGAAAAAAUUAGAGUGUUCAAAGCAGGCCUUUGCUCGAAUACAUUAGCAUGGAAUAAUAGAAUAGGACGUGUGGUUCUAUUUUGUUGGUUUCUAGGACCGCCGUAAUGAUUAAUAGGGAUA